AUUCCAAUCGAACUCGGAGAUAGCUGGUUCUCCCCGAAAUAGCUUUAGGGCUAGCGUUAUGUUAGAUUACCGGAGGUAAAGCACUGAAUGGUAGCGGGGCCGAUAAGGUUACCAACGCCUAUCAAACUAAGAAUGCCGGCUAAUUGAUGCAUAGCAGUCAGACAGUGUGAGAUAAGUUUCAUUGUCAAAAGGGAAACAGCCCAGACCUACAGCUAAGGUCCCGAAUAGAUGCUAAGUGGAAAACGAUGUGGAGUUGCGAAAACAACCAGGAUGUUGGCUUAGAAGCAGCCACUCAUUAAAAGAGUGCGUAAUAGCUCACUGGUCGAGUGACUCUGCGCGGAAAAUGUAACGGGGCUAAGCAUCUAACCGAAGCUUAGGAUUGUCGUAAGACAGUGGUAGGGGAGCGUUCCAUGUGGGGUGAAGUCGCAGCGGAAGCAGCGGUGGACUGUAUUCGAGUGAGAAUGCCGGAAUGAGUAGCGAGAAUUAUGUGGGAAUCAUAAUGGCCGAAAAUCUAAGGUUUCUUGGGGAAGGUUCGUCCGCCCAAGGUAAGCCGGGAGCUAAGGCGAGGCCGAAAGGCGUAGUCGAUGCACAUACGGUAGAAAUUCCGUAGCCGCCGAACUUUAAGCAUGCUGACACUUUGGAAUAGGGGAACCCGGGCGUUGGUUGACCCGGGCGUAAGGGACCGAAAAAUAGUAGGGAAGUCCUUGAUGUCCAGAGGCGAGAAAAGGCAUGUGGUAUACUAAGGCGCCCGUACCGCAAACCGACACAGGUAGAUGAGGAGAGAAUCCUAAGGCCAACGGGAGAAGGGUUGUUAAGGAACUCGGCAAGUUGACCCCGUAACUUCGGAAUAAGGGGUGCUCAUGAAAGUGAGCCGCAGAGAAUAGGCCCAGGCAACUGUUUACCAAAAACACAGGUUUGUGCUAAAUCGAAAGAUGACGUAUACGAGCUGACGCCUGCCCGGUGCUGGAAGGUUAAAAGGAGAUGUGCAAGCAUUGAAUUGAAGCCCCAGUGAACGGCGGCCGUAACUAUAACGGUCCUAAGGUAGCGAAAUUCCUUGUCAGGUAAG
rnacentral:rRNA from 1 species